rnacentral:rRNA from 1 species
AUGCCGCACCCGGACGAGCGCGUGGAGUACGAGCUCUGGACCAACAGCAACGACGAGUGCGGCCCCCUGUGCGAUGAGCAGGCGGCCUUCGUCCGGAGCUUCCGGGGGCACGCCCAGAUCCUGGAGCGCGGCGGCUACGCCCGGUUCACGCCGCACUACAUCACCUGGUACUGCCCCGAGGCGUUCCGGCUCACGCGGCAGUGCCAGUCGCAGUGCAUCAACCACGGCCGGUACGUAGUACAUGCACACACACGCCAUUGCCGGUCUAGGAAGCUUUCUCUGGUCAAGAGUUUGAAACGAUGUUGUUGGUUGUGCAGGUACUGCGCGCCGGACCCGGAGGAGGACUUCGGGGAGGGGUACGAGGGGAAGCAGGUGGUGGUGGAGAACCUGCGGCAGCUGUGCGUGCACCGGGUGGCGAACGAGAGCGGGCGGCCGUGGGCGUGGUGGGACUUCGCCAUGGACUACAAGCUGCGGUGCUCCAUGAAGGAGAAGAAGUACAGCAAGGCGUGCGCGGAGGAGGUGGUGGCGUCGCUGGGGCUGUCGCUGGAGAAGGUGCUGGCGUGCAUGGGCGACCCCGACGCCGACGCCGACAACGCCGUGCUGUCCAAGGAGCAGGAGGACCAGAUCGGGCGCGGGUCAAGGGGGGACGUCACCAUCCUGCCCACGCUCGUCAUCAACGACGUCCAGUACAGAGGGAAGCUGGAGAGGACGGCGGUGCUCAGGGCCGUAUGCGCCGGCUUCAAGGAGGGGACGGAGCCGCAAGUCUGCCUCAGCCAUGACCGGAACGGCGGGUGCUGGCGGGACGAGGCGACCAAUGUGCGAGCGGGUGCGGUCCGACCAGACAGAUCCGGUGGAACUUCGGCCUCGUCGACCACAUAUAUAUACGAACAGCUUCGACGGUGA